rnacentral:rRNA from 1 species
GACGAACGCUGGCGGCGGGCUUAACACAUGCAAGUCGAACGGAAAGGCACUGCUUUUGUGGGGUGCUCGAGUGGCGAACGGGGGAGUAACACGUGAGUAACCUGCCCUUGACUUUGGGAUAACUUCAGGAAACGGGGGCUAAUACAGGAUAGGAGCUGCUGUUGGAUGGUGGGGGUUGGAAAGUUUCGGCGGUUGGGGAUGGACGCGCGGCUUAUCAGCUUGUUGGUGGGGUAGUGGCUUACCAAGGCUGUGACGGGUAGCCGGCCUGAGAGGGUGACCGGCCACAUUGGGACUGAGAUACGGCCCAGAGUCAUACGGGAGGCAGGAGUGGGGAAUAUUGCACAAUGGGCGGAAGCCUGAUGCAGCAACGCCGCGUGCGGGAUGACGGCCUUCGGGUUGUAAACCGCUUUCGCCUGUGACGAAGCGUGAGUGACGGUAAUGGGUAAAGAAGCACCGGCUAACUACGU